rnacentral:rRNA from 1 species
UGCCAGCAGCCGCGGUAAUACGGAGGGUGCGAGCGUUAAUCGGAAUUACUGGGCGUAAAGAGCACGUAGGUGGUUUGGUAAGUCGGAUGUGAAAUCCCUGGGCUCAACCUGGGAAUUGCAUUCGAAACUGCCUCACUAGAGUUUAGCAGAGGGAUGGGGAAUUCCGGGUGUAGCGGUGAAAUGCGUAGAGAUCCGGAGGAACAUCAGUGGCGAAGGCGCCAUCCUGGGCUAAAACUGACACUGAGGUGCGAAAGCGUGGGGAGCAAACAGGAUUAGAUA